rnacentral:rRNA from 1 species
GAUGAACGCUGGCGGCGUGCCUAAUACAUGCAAGUCGAGCGAAUGGAUUAAGAGCUUGCUCUUAUGAAGUUAGCGGCGGACGGGUGAGUAACACGUGGGUAACCUGCCCAUAAGACUGGGAUAACUCCGGGAAACCGGGGCUAAUACCGGAUAACAUUUUGAACCGCAUGGUUCGAAAUUGAAAGGCGGCUUCGGCUGUCACUUAUGGAUGGACCCGCGUCGCAUUAGCUAGUUGGUGAGGUAACGGCUAACCAAGGCAACGAUGCGUAGGCGACCUGGGAGGGUGAUCGGCCAGGCUGGGACUGGGACACGGCCCAGAUUCCUACAGGAGGCAGCAGUAGGGAAUCUUCCGCAAUGGACGAAAGUCUGACGGAGCAACGCCGCGUGAGUGAUGAAGGCUUUCGGGUCGUAAAACUCUGUUGUUAGGGAAGAACAAGUGCUAGUUGAAUAAGCUGGCACCUUGACGGUACCUAACCAGAAAGCCACGGCUAACUACGUGCCAGCCGCCGCGGUAA